UCUUUUUUUAAUGAAGUUUAUUCAUUUUUUUCUCUAUCUCUGUGGAAAUACUCAGAAGUAGAAUUGUUAAAUGUUAUAUUUAUGAAAAAAAUAAAAGCAUUCCGCAUUUUCAGACAAUGUUCAAUUGUAAUUAAAGGUUCCAGUACAUUUAUAAUAAUGGCUUAAAUUAAGGUUAUUUUUAUAAUGAUUUUAACGGAUGUUAACGUUUCUUGAUGAAUAUGUAGUCAUGGUAGUAUAAUUUCUACAUUAUUUACAAAACAUACAUAAUUUUAUAUUUGUAAAAUGCUUUAAAUUGAGUUAGAUAUAACUGCUCAAAUAGUAGUGAUUUCACUAAAAUGUUAUUAAAGGAAUUAGAACAUUGAAAAAAAUAUA